GCCGAAGUGGUGAAACUGGUAGACACGCCAUCUUGAGGGGGUGGUGGCGAAAGCCGUGUCGGUUCGAGUCCGACCUUCGGCACCA
rnacentral:tRNA from 1 species